GAGGUCGUAGCGCAGAGGUCGUCGCGCCCGGCAUCAACCGGGAGGACGCCGGUUCGACUCCGGUCGGCCUCGCCA
rnacentral:tRNA from 2 species